rnacentral:tRNA from 1 species
GCCCAGGUACGCCAAUCGGCAGAGCGACUCGGCUUAAACCCGAGUGUUUGCAGAUUCGAUCCCUGCUCUGGGUAC